rnacentral:rRNA from 1 species
AACGAACGCUGGCGGCAUGCCUAACACAUGCAAGUCGAACGAUGGCUUCGGCCAUAGUGGCGCACGGGUGCGUAACGCGUGGGAAUCUGCCCUUAGGUUCGGAAUAACUCAGGGAAACUUGAGCUAAUACCGGAUAAUGACUUCGGUCCAAAGAUUUAUCGCCUAAGGAUGAGCCCGCGUCGGAUUAGCUUGUUGGUGAGGUAAAAGCUCACCAAGGCGACGAUCCGUAGCUGGUCUGAGAGGAUGAUCAGCCACACUGGGACUGAGACACGGCCCAGACUCCUACGGGAGGCAGCAGUGGGGAAUAUUGGACAAUGGGCGAAAGCCUGAUCCAGCAAUGCCGCGUGAGUGAUGAAGGCCUUAGGGUUGUAAAGCUCUUUUACCCGGGAUGAUAAUGACAGUACCGGGAGAAUAAGCCCCGGCUAACUCCGUGCCAGCCGCCGCAGUAACAC